rnacentral:lncRNA from 1 species
AAGGCCCUGUCAGCACUGACUAGCCACACACAGGGAGAGUCACCUAAACGUCCGAUGCCUUAGUUUCUGCCUGUAAAAUGAUAUAAGAGAGUUGAUAGAGCGGUUAAAAAAAUCAGACAAUACCAUACUAGCCUAAGCACAGCGCCUGGCACACAAAGACUCCGCAGUAAAAGGCGGCUCCUAUUAUUGGAACAAUUAGCAUAGAAACUCAACUGCCGCUCCUCCAGGUGGGCCUCAGAGGGGGUCGAACAGGACCAGACCCAGGAGGGCCCCACACCAACUUCCGGAGGGCAGGACUCUGCCUGCCAGUGAGCCCCAGAUCCAGGGACUAAGGCAGCAGGGGUGAAAGCAGGAUGGGGGCCGCCAUGACAGACGGCGGGAUCCGGCCAGCUGGCCUACGCGGUGCUUGCGAGCCUGGCGGCGCGCGCGGGCACUGGGCAUGCGCGGGGUGAGCGCGCCGCCGUCACCGCGCUCCGCUGAAUCCGCGUUUCCGGGAUUUCUCUGUAGCCUUCUAUUUCCAUUAGUGACUUAGAAGCUACCCGGCGCCUCAUCUGGGCUCACCUGAGCUGAGGAUCAGGAAGGGGAGGGGGCACAGUCAUUCCCUCGCGGACGCGGCGGGACCCCAGCGGACGGCUUUGUGCGGACUUUCGGCACCGUUAUGCCCCCCUAGCCCGACACCACCUGGGGCUGGCGCGCCACGUUACUGUUCAGGGCCAGACGCACCGCCCUGCCUGCUCCGGGGAGCCGGACCUCCGAUCCCGGGGAUGGGGGACCCCGAGACCUCAGACCCAACGGAGGGGACUCUGAUACCUCAGACCCCACGCGGGGACCCCGAGGCUUCAGACCCCCACAGGGUGACCCCGAGAUCUCAGACCCCCGCAGGAGUACCUCCAGACCUCAAAUCCCCAGUAAGGGAAUGAAAGAGACUUCGGAUCCCUGAGGCAGCAAAUCCCUGUAGGGGCAUCCCAGGACUCAGGUCACCGCGGGGUGAACCCAGACCUCACAUUCAGGCAAUCCCCAGGACGCCGAUCGGCUGGCACUACCCACUGUCCCGGCCACCCCCCCUGGAGCUCAAAGGCUUGGCCCUCCAGCUGCUCCACCCUGCCGGCAACCAGGCUCAAACCUGCAGCCCGCGGAUCCCCUGCCCCGGAAGCAACCAGAUUCGCGGGAGGUUACCUGACUGAUCCAAGGUGAUACAGCUGGUAACUGAUGGAGAUGUUGGUAGUGAAAUUCAUGUACUUUUAGUUCUUUCUAUGGAAUCUAGAGGUAGAAUACAUGUAAAAGAAUAUCGACUACCGUCUACUCAGGUCUCUGUUUUAUCUGUUUAUUCAUUCACUCUCAGCUUUUAAUAGGAUCCAAUGAGCCCUCUGUGGUUCUGAAGAAUUGCCUUGAGUAUAUGCAGCCUCAAAAAACCCACUUCCUAGGCUCAGUCUUUGAUCAAUAUUUAUCAUUAUCACCAGUUAUUGUUCUAAUAAACUCUACUCUGGAAAUAUGGUGUUAUGGUUUACUUGGGAGUGUGAGUUCAGGGCAUCAUUGAAGACUCACGUACUUUUACUGAGAAAGUGACAUUGAUCUCUGUAGAUUUUGAAUUAAAUGAUAUGAUGAAGUAUAUAAACCAAUUACUUUUGGUCAAGGUGGUAAAAAAAGUUUAGUAUUUGAUAGAUUCUUCAUCUCCACGAUCACAAAUAUUUUCUCCUAGGAUUUCUUCUAGAAAUAUUACUGCUUUAGGUUGUAUAUCAGGUCUAGGUUCUACUUUUUUUUUUUUUUUUCUCCAGGCAGUUUCUCACUCCGUUGCCCAGGCUGGAAUGCAGUGGUGUAAUCACAGCUCACUGCAGCCUCAACCUACUGGACUCAAAGGAUAAGAUCUGCUUUUAAUUAAUUUUUGUAUACGGUAUGGGAUAGGGACCAAAGUUCAUUUUUUUGCAUGUAUACAUAUCCAAAUGUUCCAGCAUCAUUUAUUAAAAAGUUAUUUUUGUCUCUACUGCAUUUCCUUUGUGCUUACAUCAAAAUCUGUGUUGCAUAUGUAUGUGUUUCAUUUUAGGCUUCCUAUUGUGUUCCAUUGAGCUAUUUGUCUUUUUGCUGCCAGCACCAUGCUGUUUUGAUUAUUGUAGCUAUAUAAAUAAGUGAUGAAAUCAGAUAGUUUAUGUCCUACAACUUUAUUUUUCAAGGUUAUUUUGUAUCUUCUAGAUUCUUCAGAUUUCCUUUUAAAUCUUAGAGUCGACUUCUCAUUUUGCACAAAAAAAUACUGCUGGGAUUUUGAUUGAGAUUGUGUUGACUCUACAGAUGAAUUUGGGGAGAAUUGACAUUUUAACCAUAUUGAAUCUUCUGACCCAUUAACAUUUAGGUCUUUUAAAAUUUCUCUGGCCAGACGCAGUGGCUCACGCCUGCCACUUUGGGAGGCCAAGGCGGGCCGAUCACAAGGUCAGGAGAUUGAGACCAUCCUGGCUAACACAGUGAAACCCCAUCUCUACUAAAAAUACAAAAAAUUAGCCGGGCGUGGUGGCAUGCGCCUGUAGCCCCAGCUACUUGGAAGGCUGAGGCAGGAGAAUGGCAUGAACCCGGGAGACAGAGCUUGCAGUGAGCAGAGAUCUUGCCACUGCACUCCACCUGGGGCAACAGAGCGAGACUCCAUCUCAAAAAAAAAAAAUAUAACUGUUGUUAGAUUUUAACCUAAGUAUUUGUUUUUUUAUUUUGUUUUUCUUUUUUUCUUCUUUUUUUUUUUUUUUUUUUUUUGAGACAGGAUCUCACUCUGUCUCCCAGGCUGAAGUGCAAUGGUGUGAUCAUGGCUCAUCUUGAAGCCUCGACCCUCCUGGGAUCAAGCUAUCCUCCCACCUCAACCUCCUGAGUAGCUGGGACUACAAGUACACAUGACCAUGCCCAAUUCAUUUUUUAAAUUCUUUGUAGAGGCGGAGUCCCACUAUGUUGCCCAGGCUGGUCUUGAACUCCUGGGCUCAAGCAAUCCUCCCACCUCAGCUUCCCAAAGUGUAGGGAUUACAGGCAUGAGCCACUGUGCAAGGUCUUGUGUUUUUUGAUAAUAUCGUAAAUGGUGAUUUUUUCAUUUGUUUCUGAUUGUUGCUAAUAUAUGGAAAUAUAGUUGAUAUCUGCAAUUGAUCUCAUGUCCUGAAAACUUGCUAAAUCUGCUUAAUAAUUUUUUGUACAUUCAAAAUGAUGUUCUACAGGUAGUCGUAUUGUCUAUGUUGGAAGGAAAGCUUUUCCUCAUUCAAUGUCGGUCCUGUGUUUGAAGACCUGCAAAUUAACUGAUAACAACAGGUUAACAGGAGAAAAGACAAGGUUUAGAGUAACUCACUAAAUAGAAAUAAAGGUUUAUAGAUCCACUUAACAAAAUGUGUUGGGAGAUUUUGGAGUUUCAGUAGGAAGUUGUGGAAGGUUCUUUUGGGCUUUUGGAUGCUUAUGAGAAUGGGCAAUCUGUCUCUACAGUAGUGGAAUUUACAGGAAACUUCCUCAGAGGGAGGCCAAUGGCAGCUGUAUUUUCUGGGGGCUCUGCUUUAGUGAAAUAAGGGAAGUUCAAAUAAAAUUUCUUGAUGCGUCUUUCUUAGAUCAAAUAUUUUCACAGUAAAAUAAUCUUUAUACCAACUUUUAGGGCCUGAAUGGUCCACACAUUUCUCCAUCUGAAACUUCCCUAGAAAUUUCAUUAACAAAAAAAAGAAGCUAAGUUGAUUGCUGUGGGGAGAUGAUUUGAGUUAGAAAUUGUAAGAUGAGAGAUCUGUAAAAGGGGGAAAAACAUAGAUUAGAACAAGGAAACAAAAACAAUGAUUAAUGUUCAGAGCAGACGAUAAACCCAGUCUAGAGGGUAAGCCAGUUAUGAAAUUUUCUAGAUGUUGGGCUCCAGCUAUCUUUAGUGAGGAUGGUAGUGGUAGGUAGUGUUGCCAUCAUGGUUAUUUCCUAGAGCACAGUCUGGAAGAUGCAGGUGUUCUGGGGAAAUAUUUGAAAGACCCACGUGUUGUGAUAAGUCUUUUGAAGUUUCUGUCUAGCCAUCCAGCUUCAGCUUGCAAGGCUUUGAGAAGGAAUCAGUUUUAGUUCUCAGUGACGUCAAGUCAGUAGAGUGGGAGGAAAAUUGGAAAUACUGAUUACUGACAAAAUAUGUAAGAUGGCAGGAUCCAGGUUUUGUUUUGUUUUUUGUUUUGUUUGUUUGUUUUUGAGACUGAGUAUCACUCUUGUUGCCCAGGCUGGAAUGCAGUGGUGCAAUCUCGGCUCACUGCAACCUCCACCUCCCAGAUUCAAGCGAUUCUCCUGCCUCAGCCUCCCAAGUAGCUGGGAUUGUGGGCUAAUUUUGUAUUUGUAGUAGAGAUGGGGUUUCUCCAUGUUGGUCAUGGCUGGUCUCGAACUCCCGACCUCAGGUGAUUCCCCGGCCUCGGCCUCCCAGAGUGCUGGGAUUACGGGCGUGAGCCACCGUGCCUGACCGGCAGGAUCCAGCUUUUAAAGAGGUAAAAAAAUUGCUCAAAGACAAUGAACAAGACUAGAGUCUGAUAACUCACACAACUGGGUUAUAGUUUGCCAUUGAAACAUAAAAUUUCUCUGUAUAAUUACUACCACUGAGAUCAAAGAUAAACAAAGUAAGAUUACUCUUGUUUACAAAAUAAGUCUUGUCUCAUUAAAUUUGGCCUGAUCAUUUACAUAAGUCCAGCAAGAAUGAUAAUUGACCACAGGAGCCUUUUUAGGUUUGCUUGGCUGGAACUUUUAUAAGGAAUCUCAGAUUAGAGUUUUAAGACUACACCUACACAGCCAGGCGUGGUGGGUCACGCCUGUAAUCCCAGCACUUUGGGAGGCUGAGGCGGGUGGAUCACAAGGUCAGGAGUUCAAGACCAUCCUGCCUAACCCGGUGAAACCCCGUCUUUACUAAAAAUACAAAAAAAUUAGCCGGGCGUAGUGGCGGGUGCCUGUAGUCCCAGCUACUCGGGAGGCUGAGGCAGGAGAAUGGCAUGAACCUGGGCGGCAGAGUUUGCAGUGAACCGAGAUUGCACCACUGCAUUCCAGCCUGGGGGACAGAGUGAGACUCCAUCUCAAAAAAAAAAAAAAAAAAAAAAAAAAAAGACUACACCUAUACUAUCUGUAGUUUCAGAUAGAGAAAUGUGGGGAUCCAUUCAGACCCUAAAACUGUUGCUCUUCUUGAGGUUUCCAAAACAUCUUAAGGCCCUGGGCCUGCGAGUAAGUAACCCAUCUUACUCACCUGUAAGCCUGGAACCCUGUAAGUCAGGUAAGGCACCAGGUCAAUUAUUUCAGCAGAGCUUUGUAAGCAUUGGCUCCAUCAAGUCAACCUUAGUUUCUUAAAAAUGUCUGGUCACGUCUAAUUCUGUGCACAUCAGUCUCAAAUAUGACCUUCUAGUCAAAGUCUUGGUAACAUAAUCAAUUUUUCCAAAUAAUGUCCUUUUUUAAGGAGAACAGAUUCUUCUUGAAUUUAUGCAAACAACUAUAUUGCCAUGAGAAUAGGAAUAUUCAAUAAGAAUUGACAAAUUUUAGAGGAAGCAGGGAGAAAAAGAUAAAUUUUUCAUUUCUACUUAUGAAAGUUUAUUAAAUUGUUAUCAUUUGUGGAUAGCUUAAGAGAAAAGAGAAAUCAAAGGAUGUAUCACAACAGUUUGGGGUUUUCAAUUAUUUCUCCAGAACACUUGCAUCUUCCAGGCUCUGCUCCAGAAAAUAACCAUGACUCCAACAUACCACUACCAUCCUCACUAAAGAUGGAACCCCACAUCUAGAAAACCUCAUGACUGGCUUGCCCUCUGGACUUAAAAAAACUGGGUUUAUAUUCUGCUCUGAACAUUAAUCAUUGUUUUUAUUUUGUUUCCUUGUUCUAAUCUAUGUUUCUUCCCUUAUAUUCAGGACAUAGAACAUUCAAGAACCAGCAAUGUUUCAAACAAAGGCCAUUUAAAAAAUCAUAACCAUUGUUUAUCAGUCACCUCAGUUCCAUAUGAUUAAUUCUGGCCUUGCUUGAUCUUGGAUUAGCAGUGUCAUGAACCCAUCAGCUUUUCAACUAGAGUUCUGGAAAUCCUUCCUCAGGGCAGUGGUAUGAGAUUAAAGUUAUUUAAGCAAUGUCAUCAGAAGCCUGUACCCCACAGUACUGUUACAGGCCUUUCCAUGGAUCUUAGAGAAACAGUCCUUUUUGUUGAAGAUGAAGUAUUCUGGCUAAUAACUGAUCGCUAGAGCUUUCAGGAAAGUACCAGAGUAAAAUAAUAACUGCGAAUGACAAAAAGGCAAAAAUGGCCAUGGUAAAGAUCGGAUGAAGGUUUAUUUUAAUUCUGUUAACAAGGAAAAUCAGUUUUUUUGUGGCAUACAUUUAAAAUCAUAACUGUAAUCAUGACUGAUAAUAUUAUACCAGGACAUAUUAUGGUUAUCAAGGGCAUUGACAAAUUUCUAGGAACUUUAUUCAGUUUCUGAAAUAAUAACAUUUAUCCAUGCAAAUACCACCUAAGGAAGGUUAAGUAUCUUUUCUUGACAGUGAGUGCCUCCCGUGCAAUUUAACAUAUUGAAUAAACCUAAUUAGUUUAACAUCUCUCUUUUUACAAAAUGAGAGAACAAAUAUUUUGAGAUCUUCUAGGGACCCUUUGGAAAAUCUCAAAGUCAGUUCAAAGUUAAAAAAAUUUCAUUUAGAAUUUCAUUUGGGGAAGUUGUCAAAAAUGCCAAAAGCGUUGAACACUUGAUUAAAUAGGAUCACAGGUCACUGUGAAACAACACUUAAUUAUCCAUUUAAUUAAACUGACAAUAAAAAUAGCCAUAGGAGAUUCUAUGAUUGUAAGAAAAAAAUAGCUUUUUUUUUAAGGUGAGAAGAUUUAGUUGUCUUAAAUAAUCAAAGACAUGAUAAAGCACCAGAAAUUAUUCUAAUAAAACACAGUCACUGAUUUCUAGGUGGUAUUAAUGAAAAAAAAAUGUUCUUAAAGUUGUUGAAACAGUAAAUACUUUUUUUUUUUUUAAUUUAAGACAGGAGAUUUAUUAUUACUCAAAUCAGUCUCCCCAAGGAGCAUCCAGGGAUCAGAGUUUUGAAGGAUAACUUGCUGGGCCGGGGGCAGCCAGUGAGUCAGGAGUGCUGAUUGGUCAGGUUGGAAAUGAAAUCACAGGGAGUCAAAGCAGUCUUCUUGCGCUGAGUCAGUUACUGGGUGGUGGCCACAAGAUCAGAUGAGCCCGAUUAUCCAUCUGGGUGGGGCCAGCUGAUCCAUCAAGUGCAGGGUCUGCAAUGUAUCUCAAGCGCUGAUCUUAGGAGCAGUUUUGGGAGGGUCAGAAUCUUCUAGCCUCCAACUGCAUGACUCCUAAACCAUAGUUUCUAAUCUUGUGGCUAAUUUAUGAGUCCUACAAAGGCAGUCUAGUCCCUAGGCAAGAAGGAGGUUUGUUUUUGGAAAGGACUGUUAUUCUCUUGGUUGUAAACUAUAAACACUAAGCUAAGUUCCUCCCAAAGUUAGUUCAGCCUAUGCCUGGGAAAGAACAAGGACAGCUUGGAGGUUAGAAGCAAGAUGGAGUUGGUUAGGUCAGAUCUCCUUCACUGUCCCAGUUACAAUUUUGCAGUGGCUGUUUCAAUCCCUCCCUUUGGUUUUUUUGUUUGUUUGUUUUUGGUGCGAUUUUGGCUUACCGCAACCUCCACCUCCCGGGUUCAAGCAAUUCUCCUGCCUCAGCCUCCCGAGUACCUGGGACUACAGGCAUGCACCACCACGCCUGGCUAAUUUGUUGUAUUUUUAGUAGAGAUGGGGUUUCACCAUGUUGGCCAGGCUGGUCUCGAACUCCUGACCUCAAGUGAUCCACCUGCCUUGGCCUCCCAAAAUGUUGAGAUUAUAACCAUAAGCCACCGCUCCCAGACUCCUUUUGGAUUUUAUAACACCUUAAUCUUAAGGUGUUGGCUAAUGAAAAUUGAAAAAGGGCGAAGGCUGCUCUAACUUCUUCCUGCCGAUCUGAGGCAUAGUAGGGGUAGGCGUUAACCCCAAAGUGAGAGAAAUGGAACUGCUUUGCAACUGUGUGAGCGUACUCAUGCAGGCCUGGCUGGGGUUCCAAGGCUCGCAUGGCAAAGGCAUUAGUAUUAACAUCUAUAGUUUUAGUACUGCAUUUGAGGGAACAGUGACUAUCAGGUAGAUAAUGAAUACUAGGGUGAGGAGUGCAAUUCCCAGUUUCAAAAGUAAAGAUUUGAAAGCAUUAGUUUGGGGACUUUUAGCCCACAGAGAAUUUAGGAUUUAGUCCAAACUGAAGGAAAAAUUCAAGAACAGCUAACAAAAGGUGUACUGUAACUUUUGUUUUUUUUUAGAUGGAGUGUCACUCUGUUGCCAGGCUGAAGUGUAGUGGCAAGAUCUGGGCUCACUGCAACCUCCACCUCGCGGGUUUAAGCAACUCUCCUGCCUCAGUCUCCCAAGUAGCUGGGACUACAGGUGCAUGCACACCACCACGCCCAGCUAAUUUUUGUAUUUUUAGUAGAGAUGGGAGUUCUCCAUGUUGGCCAGGAUGGUAUCAAUCUCUUGACCUCGUGAUCCAACUGCCGUGGCCUCCCAAAGUGCUGGGAUUAUGGGCAUGGGCCACCACGCCCAGCCUAUAAGUCUUUUUUAAGUAUAAUUUUUCUCUUUCCAAUCCUCAUUUUUUUCUUUUCUUUUUUUUUUUUUUUGAGACAGAGUCUCACUCUGUUGACCAGGCUGGAGUGCAGUGGCGCAAUCUCGGCUCACUGCAAGCUCUGCCUCCCGGGUUCACACCAUUCUCCUGCCUCAGCCUCCCGAGUAGCUGGGACUACAGGCGCCCGCCACCACGCCCGGUUAAUUUUUUGUAUUUUUAGUAGAGAUGGGGUUUCACCGUUUUAGCCAGGAUGGUCUCGAUCUGCUGACAUCGUGUUCCACCUGCCUCGGCCUCCCAAAGUGCUGGGAUUACAGGCGUGAGCUACCGCACCCGGCCCCCCAAUCAUCAUUUUUAUUAAAAACAAAUAAUGAUAGGACUGAUUGGUUUGCAAAAUAAACUUUUAUUGUACUUGGCCUGGUUAUUUGCAUAAAGCACAGCAAAAAUAAUUAUUUUUCAUAUAGGAUUUUUAAAUUGGCUUUGAUGGAGCUCUGUUCUAUAAGGAAUCUCAGAUAAGACUUUUUAAAAGCUGAGCCCUGCCAUGGGUUUAUACCGUCAAAUACCUAUGAGUUAGGUAAAUUAUUCUUCUCUUGAGGUGCCAAGAUAACUUGGGGCUCCUCGGCCUGUUAGAAAGUGCCAUUCUUUACUUAUCACAGGUCAGAAACCUUAUACAGGGACUGUGUAAAGAAAAUAUGAGGCCAGAUUUCCCAAGAGGCUUUUAUUGGCUCUGUAAAUCAACUUUGAUUCCUUAAAGAAAGCAUGCCAUUCCAGUCAAAGCCUUGGUAAAAUAACCAGUUUCUACAAUCGUGUCCUGUUACAAAAGAAAACAGAUUCUUAUCAUGCUUAUGCAAAUGUCUAUACUACCAUAAAUUGAGAAUACUCACAAAUAGUUCCCAAAUUCUGGAGAAGUCAGGUAGAAAGAAAUAUGCUCCAAAUUUUGUUCACAGGAGUAUAUUUUACCAAUUGUUAAAGGCUGUAAAUAGCUCAAAAGAUAAGUUUUCUUAGUUCUGGAUAAGAAAAAGGAUCAGCAACAUUUUAAGCAAAAAAGUAAAAAAAAAAAAAAAAAGGUUACUUCAGUCUUUUAUUAGUUCAGUCCAUUCAGUUAACUUUUGUUCUGCUUCAUAUCCAUGAACAUUUCAGCUCUCCAUGAGAGUCCUGAAAGUUUUUCCCCUUUACACUUGUGUCAUCAUCAUCUCCAAAGUUAUCAGAAACUUGCAUUCAAGAGUACCUGUCAAAGUUUUAUAGCUGAUUAUAAAACCACCUUCCAAAGUGGAUCAAAAUGAGACAAUUGCCUUGGAUGACAAAAAUAUUUUAGGGCAGCCACAGUUAAAAACACAAUUGGGCUGCGUGCAGUGGCUAACGCCUGAAAUCCCAGCACUUUGGGAGACUGAGGCAGGCGGGUCACGAGGUCAGGAGAUCAAGACCAUCCUGGCUA